rnacentral:tRNA from 1 species
UGCGGCUUAAUUCAACGGUUAGAAUGCCAUUCUUAUACAAUGGUAGUUAUGGGUUCGAAUCCUAUAGCCGCAA